GAUGAACGCUGGCGGCGUGCCUAAUACAUGCAAGUCGAGCGAACAGAUGAGGUGCUUGCUCCUCUGACGUUAGCGGCGGACGGGUGAGUAACACGUGGAUAACCUACCUAUAAGCCUGGGAUAACUUCGGGAAACCGGAGCUAAUACCGGAUAAUAUCUUUAACCGCAUGGUUCAAUAGUGAAAGACGCUUUUGCUUCCACUUAUAGAUGGACCCGCGCCGUAUUAGCUAGUUGGUAAGGUAAGGGCUUACCAAGGCAACGAUGCGUAGCCGACCUGAGAGGGUGAUCGGCCACACUGGAACUGAGACACGGUCCAGACUCCUACGGGAGGCAGCAGUAGGGAAUCUUCCGCAAUGGGCGAAAGCUUGACGGAGCAACGCCGCGUGAGUGAUGAAGGUCUUCGGAUCGUAAAACUCUGUUAUUAGGGAAGAACAAAUGUGUAAGUAACUAUGCACGUCUUGACGGUACCUAAUCAGAAAGCCACGGCUAACUACGUG
rnacentral:rRNA from 1 species